UCAUCGUUCGCAGACCUCAUUUCAACAACAAAAAGGAAAAAAGGAACUCACUCGAGUUUUCUCUUUGUUUUGCAGCCGUGAAAGAAAAGAAGAGAUGAACAGAUGAAAUGGUUGAUAAGAAGAAGAUUUGCAAAUGUAAGCCGAGCAUGCAUAGAUGGAAAAAAGAAGAGGAACACAAGAGAUUUUACGUGGUUCAGCAACGAGGCCUACAUCCACGAGAGGAGCUUUAUUUUAAGAUUCUUGGAGGAUUUUCAAGGGCUUAUAGAAACAGAUAAGAACAUUCUACCUUAGAUCCCCUUUAUCUACGAUUUUACAAGUUUAAUUAUGGGUGUAUUUGUAAGAUAAAUGCUUGAUUUCACUAAAGUAAUUUCUGCUUUACAAUUCUCCACCUUGAAAUAAACAUUUAGUUGAUUAAUAUUUAGCUCCUCUUCAUUGAUCACUCUUCAACUAUCCUUUUUCAAGUAGCUCAAAUCCGAUGAUGUCGAGGCAUUUCUAGAGUUUGAGCUAAGUGAUUGCUUUCGUCAGCAUGUCUGAGGCAUUAUUUGAUGUAUGGACUUUAAGAACUUCGAUUUUCCCUUCUUCUAUCUGUUCUCUGAUGAAGUGGUACUUCAUAACUAUAUGUUUAGUGUGAUUAUGAUACUGAGGAUGUUAGAUAGAUGUAUAGUACACUGAUUAUCCCAAUAAAUUUUUACUUUUAUCUGAGUAAUUUUGAAGUCUUGAAAUAAACCUCUUAGCCAUAGGCCUUCUUUUACAGCCUCAGAUAGAACAAUAAACUCUACUUCAGUGGUAGAAAGAGUUACAAUUAAUUGCAAGGAAGCUUUCCAACUAAGUACACAACUUUCAAAAAGAAAAAUAUAUCCUGACAGUGACCUUCUUUUAUAGAGAUCUCUUGCAUAAUCUGAGUCAGCAAAGCCAAAUAGUUCAAGUUCUGAAUCAUUGCUCUCUUGAUAUAAGAAUCUAGCUUCUUUAAUACCCUUUAGGUAUCUCAAAAUCCAUUUUGUGGUCUCUCAAUGUCUCUUGCCAUGGUUGGCCAUGUACCUACUGACCAAACCAGUUGCAUAAGCUAUGUCUGGUCUGGUAGAUAUCAUUAAAUACAUGAGACUUCCCACUGCUUGGGAGUAAGGCACUGUCAACAUUAAUUUUUUAUGCUUAAUCUUUGUAUCUUUUGGUGAACUUUGUGCUGAUAAUUUGAAAUGUUAUGCAACGGGUGUAGAAACUGACUUUUCUUCUUUCAUAUGGAACUUUUGAAUUAAUUUCUCACAGUACUUAGCUAAACUGAUGUGUAAUUUGCGUUAUGUUCUAUUUUUUUCGAUAUCAAUGCCAAGUAUCCUUUUUGCACUGCCCAUAUCUUUCAUUUCACACUCCGAUUUUAGGAGGUAUUAAUUUGUUUCAACUUCUCCUUAGAACUACUUGAUAGUAGCAUAUCAUCCACAUAUAGAAGUCAAUAGACUGGAUUAGCCAGCAUUGAUGUAAACACCGCUAUCAUAGGGGCUUUUUAAAAAACCACUAUUCUGCAUAAACUCAUCAAACCUUCUAUUCCAGCACCCAGGUGAUUGUUUUAGUCCAUAAAUAGACUUUCUAAGUAGGUAGUAGUAUUCUUCUUUCUCCUUGAUUUGAUAACCUUUAGGUUGACUCAUAUAUAUGGUUUCUUCUAAGUAGCCAUGAAGGAAUGCUGUUUUGACAUCAAGCUGGUCUAGUUAUAGGUUUUGUUGUGCUACUAUGGAUAGAAACAAUUUGAUAGAGGUUUGUUUCACAAUUAGUGAGAAUGUCUCAUUGUAGUCUAAUCCCCAUCUCUGAUUGCAUCCCUUAGCAACCAGCCUACUUUGAAUCUAGGUUCUUAAACCUUAGAAAUGUCUUCCUUGAACUUGUACACCCAUUUAGAUGCAAUAGGUUUACACCCUUUAGGAAGAGGAACUAAGUACCAAGUCUCAUUCUUCAUUAGGGACUCAAUUUCAUCAUUCAUAGCUUCUAUCUAUCUCUUUGCAUUAGCACAACUCACUGCUUCUUCAAAUGUGGAUGAUUCUAAGUCACUCAUUUCUUCUUAUGCAAUCAAUGCUAGGUUUACAUAAUCAGCUUCAUACCUUGUAGGUGUAUUGUAAUUCUCCUUUGCCUAUCUCUAGCUAAGGAGUAGUUUCUUAAGUUUGUACCCUCUUGCUCAACUUCAGUGGCUGCCUCUUCUUCUUCUUCUUCUUUUUCAUGUUGAGGCAUCAUAUCACUAGUAUCUUUAGGAUUUAAACUUGAGGAAGCUGAUGUAGGCAAGAGAGAGUGCUCCACCUUAAUUUUAUCAGUCAACUCUUGAGGUGUUUAUUCAGGGGUAUUUAUUUUCUGCAUAAAAAUUUCAGUUUCCCUGAAAAUAACAUCUCUGUUGGUCACACACUUUCUUUCAAUAGGAUGUCAAAGUCCGAAACCUUUUACUCCUUUAGUGAACCCCACAAACAUGCAUUUGAAGGUCUUUUGCACUAAUAUAGGCAAGUGUUUUGUGCCAAAGGUCUCCAUCAGUAGGCUUUUUAAGAGUUACAACUAAAGCUAAUUGCCUCUUUUGAACUCCUUGGACCACAUACAAACCAUUUAUCUGAACUUCCCAGUAGCCUCGUUUCCUUCUGUAUUCACAGCCUAUUGAGUCAAGCAUGCCUAAUGAAAUCAAAUUCCUCUUUAAUUUGGGUAUAUGCCUAACAUUUCUGAGUAGCUUCACUGACCCAUCUUCUAGUUUUAGGAGAAUUUAGCCAAUGCCAACCAUAGAACAGAAUGAUUGUUACCCAAGUAGACUUCCUCUAUCCAUGUCCUUGUAGGUAUUGAACCAGACCUUGUUGGGUGUUAUAUGAAAAGAACACCCUAAGUCAAGAAUCCAAUCAAUGCUCUUUGCUGGAUUUUCAAAUUCUGCCCUUUAAUUAGAGAUGGCUAAGGCAUUUGAGUAGAAGAAUGAAUCUUCCCCUACUGAGGCUUCUCCUAACUAUGUUGAUUGAACCUUUUGAUUUUGAUUUUUGUUCUUCUGCUCAUUGUUUCACUUCAAAGUUCUGCAGUCCUUGAUUAGAUGUUCAAUCUUCUUGCAAUAUUUGCAUCUAAUUUUAGACUUCUCCUUGUUUUCAUCUGUGGAAACUUGUUUUCCCUUCACUUUGUUGUGAUAUUUGUUCUUGCUUUUCAAAAAUAAUCCCUCGGCACUAGGUUUUUCCUCCUUGUUAGACAUCAUCUUCAUUUCUUUGAUUUUAAGUGCUAAAAUGAUGCUAUUUGUGGUGACUAAAUCUCUACCAUACUUUGAGGUUGCCUUCACAUCUUUAUAUGUCUCAGGAAGUGAAUUAAGUAGCAUAAAGGCUCUAUUAUCUGCCUCAAUAGUGUCAUCUUGAAUUUUAAUGUAAUGACCUGACCUUUCGAGUACUUUGAACUAAAUACACAUUUAAAAUCUAGAUAUUUUUUACCAUAAAAAUUCAAAACAAUAAGGAUAGUUUUUCCAAAAUAAACUAGAAAAAAAUAAAUAAUAAAUAAACAAAACUUUUAUUCGGAUCCCCUAAAAAUAAUAUUCAUAUUCAAAACAUUAAAAUUUACUAUCUCACAUUAAAUUCUAGUUUCAAAAUAUUUAAAUGACAAAAACGUAGACUGAGCGAAAGCAAUUUCUCUUGUCCCCAUAUGACUCUGCCACGGGUCCCGUCUAUCACUCGUCAACCUGCUCCUAUCAUUCCCCGAAAAACAUAAAGGAAGGAAGGAUGAGUAUAACAAUACUCGAUAAGUGACCUGCUACUGGACCCUCUAGGUUACAUGUUAACUAGUUUAUCUAGGCAUCGAUGUACACUCAUCAUAUCAGUUGUGGUGAUCCCGAAUGGUCACAUAUCAGUUAUAAACAUGAUCCUAAAGGAGCACGGAUCAUUCAAUAGUGUGUAACCCGAAGGCCCACCAAUCAAUCAUAGACAUGAACCCGAAAGGACAGUGUGUAACCCAAAGGUCCACAAAUCAGUCAUAGACAUGAACCCGAAGGAACAUGAAUCAGUCAUAGUGUGUAACCCGAAGGUCCACAAAUCAAUCAUAGACAUGAACAUGAAUGAACAUGAAUCAGUCAUAGUGUGUAACCUGUAGGUCCACAAAUCAGUCAUAGACAUGAACCCGAAAGAACUGACAUGAAUCAGUCAUAAUGUGCAUAUAUAUAGUCAUAUAUAUACACCUGCCCAAAUAAGAAAAACUAAUAGGAACUCUAUAACUUAGCAUGCAUCAAUUUUCAUACAACUCUGUGUUAUAUAUUACAGUCGUUUAACUUAGGGCUAAAUUUUCAUAUAUAUCCUCAAUAAUGGUAAAAUCAUCAUAGACAAAACAGCCUAAUCCAGCCAGUCAAUGUCAUUAAGUCAUUUAGUUGAAUCAGUCAUAAAUUAUUAGUCCCAAUAGUCUAGAAUAAUCAGUCAAAUCUGUCUUAACAGUCUCAAGAAACAGUCCAUAUAAUCUUAAGUAAUUAGUCCAUGUAUUCUUAAGUAAACAGUCCAAGUAAUCUUAAAUAAGCAAUCCAAGUAAUAGGGAGGACUGGUUCGAAGGCAAAUCAAUAGAAAGUCACUUACCUCAUAUUGAAAUUCCAAAAUUAAUCCAAGAAAUCAAUCUCCAACUAAAACUUGAAUUAACGUUCCAAACACUUUGUUUGCUCCAAAUUUAUUUCAAACUUCACUCAAAGAUUCAAAUCUACGCAUAAAUCAUAAUUUAGGAUUUCAAAUCCAAUUCCCAACAUUUAUAACUAAUCCAAAAAGUUCCACGUCUUAAUAUUCACCAAAUAAAAAUCCAACGAGCGGCGAUGACCGACGGACGCACAAUGGUGAAUGGCUAAAAAAAUAUGAAAGUAACAGCGAUUUUUCUCUCUAAUUGACCUUUCUUUAGAAUGUAGUGGAUGAUUGUAUUUAUAGAGGAAAAAUAAUCCUAAUCCUAUAUUAUUUGGGAUUCCAUAACUUGAGAUAGAUUAGAUUUCGUUUUUAAAUGAGACAUUUUCUCUAAUUAAUAAAUCCAUAUUUUAAUUAAUUAGAAAAUUCAUAAUCUAAUUAAUUUGGGAACCCAGAUUCUAAUUAAAUUAGAAAUUUCACAAUUUAACUAAAUUGAAAAUUCCAUAAUGCAAUUAAUUUAAAUUAAAUCCAAAAUAAUCCAAAAAUUCCAAUUCUCUUAUCAAAUCUUUUCCAAACUUUUUUUUUUAAUUUUCAAAUUUUUAUCCAAAAUAAUCGAAAAAUUUCAAAUCUCUUCUCAAAUUAAUCUUAAACCAAUUAACUUUCCUAAUUAACUUAAUUUUGGCUCCAAACAGAAAUUAAAGGGAAUAUACAAUCCAAUAGUUGAUACAUCCUUCCAAAUAUUUAAUGAAUUUAAAACACACUUUUCUCCAAGUAAAUUAAUUCAAUUUUUCCUUGAAUUGAAUUAAAAUUCUAAUUCUUUACAAAUAUCUUUUAAAUUAAUUAUCUUGUCUCCCAAAUUAAACUCUUAGUCCCAAUUUAUCAAAAUAACGUCCAAAUAUUUCAAGAUAAUUUAAUGAAAAUUACUUGAAAAAUUUGGGAUGUUACAUUUAAAUUCUGCUGUAAUCUUCUUAAACUCAUCAAGGUUAUCGGUCAAAGUCUUGGAUGAAUUCAUCUUGAAUGUAAAGAAUCUCUCCCUCAACAACAAUUUAUUAGGGAGAUCUUUAACUUUAUCCACAUCUUAAGAGCAAUCACUUGUCAAAGUACACUCUCUGAGAGAUUCAAAACAAGUGUUCUAUGUGCGAUCAACUCCAUAUUUUUUAUGUCAUCUUCUAUCACAAUAGUAGGAAUUUUAAAGAGAUCGGUCUUAUGAGCUUUCUGUUGCCCCAAUACAACUCUAAUCUUGGCCUUCCAAAGGUUGAAAUCUCUAUUUCCAUCAAUUUUUUCUAUGUCAUACCUUGCAAUUGCCAUUUCUUGUCUUCUUUCUUGCUUCAAAAAACUCAAAGAUUAUCUUUCUUUAAAGUUUUUGAAAACAUUUCUUUGUUCUUGCAUGUAUGAUACCACUUUCUGGGAUUUUUUUUUAAAUUUUUUUUUCACAAUCUACCGAGGCCCAAGCUGAAAGAAAGACUCAAAACUGGUGGUCUGUGAUGGAACAAAUGGCUGGAGAAAUGGUCACGUUGCUGAUGAUCCUUCCACACGUUGAAGUCGUGAAAGAAAAGAAGAGAAGAAUCAGAUGAAACGGUCAAGAAGAAGAAGAUGAUUUGCAGAUGUAAACAAAGCAUGCAAAGAUGGAAAAAAGAAGAGGAACACGAGAUUUUACGUGGUUCAACAACGAGACCUACAUUCACGAGAGGAGCUUUAUUUUCAGAUUCUUGAAGGAUUUUCAAAAGCUUAACGAAAUAGAUAAGAACAUUCUACCUUGGUUUCUGACUUAGUUCCCCUUUAUAUAGAGUUUUACAAGUUUAGUUUUGGGUGUAUUUGUAAGAUAAAUGUUUGAUUUCAUUAAAGUAAUUUCUGCUUUACAGUA